rnacentral:rRNA from 1 species
CGUAGGGCGCGAGCGUUGUCCGGAUUUAUUGGGCGUAAAGAGCUCGUAGGCGGCUUGUCGCGUCGUCCGUGAAAACCCGCGGCUUAACUGCGGGCUUGCGGUUGAUACGGGCGGGCUAGAGUUCGGUAGGGGAGACUGGAAUUUCUGGUGUAGCGGUGAAAUGCGCAGAUAUCAGGAGGAACACCGGUGGCGAAGGCGGGUCUCUGGGCCGAUACUGACGCUGAGGAGCGAAAGCGUGGGGAGCGAACAGG